AUGUUGUUAUUAGUAGUCCUCAGAGGUGUCCAGUCAGAGGUCCAGUUGGAGGAGUCUGGAGGGGAUGUGAGAAGACCUGGAGACUCCCUCCGUCUCUCCUGCCAAGGCUCUGGAUUCACCUUCAGCAGCUACUGGAUGAGCUGGGUGAGGCAGUAUCCGGGGAAAGGACUGGAAUGGGUGGCAGACAUGGAUGCAGGCUCUAGCACUUACUAUUCGGACAAAGUCAAGGGACGCUUCACCAUCUCCAGGGACAAUGCCAAAAGCCAGCUGUAUCUGCAAAUGAACAACCUCACGCCAGAGGACACCGGACUCUAUUACUGCACGAGAGACACAGUGAGAGGAAGUGAAUCUGAAGCCAGGCAAAAACUCCCCAUUCCUCAGAGCAGCUCUGUGAGUUCUUCCAUGAAUCACAGCUUCAACUGGUACACUGAAAUUGUGAAGAAUCGUACAGAAAAUAUGUAA